rfam:Arabis alpina cultivar Pajares Aa.chr4_contig_405, whole genome shotgun sequence.
GGGUGCAGUCAUAUCAGCAUUAAUGCACCAGAUCCUAUCAAAACUUCGCAGUUAAGCGGGCCCGGCGAAAGUAGUAGUAAAAUGGGUGACCCUCUUGGGAAAUCCGUGUGUUACCA